UACGGAGGAUCCAAGCGUUAUCCGGAUUUAUUGGGUUUAAAGGGUGCGUAGGCGGGACGAUAAGUCAGAGGUGAAAUAUUGCAGCUUAACUGUAAAACUGCCUUUGAUACUGUUGUUCUUGAGUUCAAUUGAGGUAGGCGGAAUGUGUAAUGUAGCGGUGAAAUGCUUAGAUAUUACACAGAACACCCAUUGCGUAGGCAGCUUACUAAAUUGCUACUGACGCUGAGGCACGAAAGCGUGGGGAUCAAACAGGAUUAGAUACCCUGGUAGUCCACGCCGUAAACUAUGAUCACUCGUUGUUAGCGAUACACUGUUAGCGACUGAGCGAAAGCAUUAAGUGAUCCACCUGGGGAGUACGACCGCAAGGUUGAA
rnacentral:rRNA from 1 species